GAUGAACGCUGGCGGCGUGCCUAAUACAUGCAAGUCGAGCGAACAGACGAGGAGCUUGCUCCUCUGACGUUAGCGGCGGACGGGUGAGUAACACGUGGAUAACCUACCUAUAAGACUGGGAUAACUUCGGGAAACCGGAGCUAAUACCGGAUAAUAUAUUGAACCGCAUGGUUCAAUAGUGAAAGACGGUUUUGCUGUCACUUAUAGAUGGAUCCGCGCCGCAUUAGCUAGUUGGUAAGGUAACGGCUUACCAAGGCAACGAUGCGUAGCCGACCUGAGAGGGUGAUCAGGCACACUGGAAAUGAGAAAAGGUCCAGACUCCUACGGGAGGCAGGAGGAGGGAAUCUUGCACAAAGGGCGAAAGCCUGAACGAGCAAAGCCGCGUGGGGGAAGAAGGGUUUCGGAUUGGAAAACCCUUUUAAUUGGGAAGAAAAAAAGUGGAAGAAAACUUGGAAGGUUUGAAGGGACCAAAAGAAAAAGACCAGGCUAAAUUAGUG
rnacentral:rRNA from 1 species